UACGGAGGGUGCAAGCGUUAUCCGGAUUCACUGGGUUUAAAGGGUGCGUAGGUGGGCAGGUAAGUCAGUGGUGAAAUCUCCGGGCUUAACUCGGAAACUGCCGUUGAUACUAUCUGUCUUGAAUAUCGUGGAGGUUAGCGGAAUAUGUCGAUGUAGCGGUGAAAUGCUUAGAUAUGACAUAGAACACCCAUGCGAAGGCAGCUAACUACACGAUCAUUGACACUGAGGCACGAAAGCGUGGGGAGCAAACAGG
rnacentral:rRNA from 1 species